rnacentral:rRNA from 1 species
UCUACCCAUUAGCGGGGGAUAACAGUUGGAAACGACUGCUAAUACCGCAUACGACAUUUUCUGGCAUCAGAGGAUGUUAAAAGGUCCGUUUGGAUCWYUAAUGGAUGAGGGUGCGGCGUAUUAGCUAGUUGGUGGGGUAAUGGCCUACCAAGGCAAUGAUACGUAGCCGAACUGAGAGGUUGAUCGGCCACAUCGGGACUGAGACACGGCCCGAACUCYUACGGGAGGCAGCAGUAGGGAAUUUUUCACAAUGGGCGAAAGCCUGAUGGAGCAAKGCCGCGUGACUGAAGACGGUCUUC